rnacentral:lncRNA from 1 species
GUAGAAAUCGGCGGGAACUUCGGGACCAACGGCACCUUCAGCAGCCUCCUGGUAGAGAAGCCGCCGCCCUACCCCGGGGCGCCUCAGCACACCUCAGUCAUCCCCCCCGGUACGCGACAGGGAAGUUACGGGGGCCGGUACACACUGGGAACCCUUCACAAUCAAGGGUACGAGUCCGGGAAACCUGGUUCGCCCUGCGUUCGAGGUGGGGUGCAGUACGCUACGCCCGCGCACCAUCGCUCGCUUCUUCCAGUGUCUGUGAGGGCCUCGGGCUCCGAGAGCGACGUCUCCUCGACACAGAAGGAAGAGUGGUUUGUAUAGGUGAGUCGCAAGAGACAGAUCGUGGUUAUGUAUAAA